rnacentral:rRNA from 1 species
UCGAGAAUUUUUGGCAAUGGGGGAAACCCUGACCAAGCGAUGCCGCGUGCGGGAUGAAGGCCUUCGGGUUGUAAACCGCUGUCAGUGGGGAGAAAAGGACGGGAGGUUCUCCUUCCGUUUUGAUCUAUCCGCAGAGGAAGUGUGGGCUAAGCUCGUGCCAGCAGCCGCGGUAAGACGAGCCACACGAACGUUAUUCGGAAUUACUGGGCUUAAAGGGUGCGUAGGCGGCGCGGAAAGUUGGGUGUGAAAUCCCUCGGCUCAACCGAGGAACUGCGCCCAAAACUACCGUGCUCGAGGAAGAUAGAGGUGAGCGGAACUUACGGUGGAGCGGUGAAAUGCGUUGAUAUCGUAAGGAACACCCGUGGCGAAAGCGGCUCACUGGGUCUUUUCUGACGCUGAUGCACGAAAGCUAGGGGAGCAAACGGGAUUAGAUACCCCGGUAGUCC